UUUGCGCGUUUAAACUAGUAUAAGUGGAAUCCUGCAUAGGUCAGGAGAGGAAACCUGGCUUAAAAAUCGAUUCGGAAAAGUGUUUAAAAUUGCAUACGAGAAAUUGGUGCCUACUUAUAUUUGCAAACGCACAGUUAAAUCGAACAUUGAAAAAUUCAUCCUUAUUCAUAUAUAUAUAUAUUCACUUUCGGACUGUAAAAAAUGAAUGAAACUCGACCUCAUAACUCACGAAUUCCGAGAACAGUGGAGCAGAAAACUCAAUAUCUAUGUGGCAUCUGUUCGGAGGAUCUGACGAUCGUAGAUUCUAGAGUAUGCGCUACCGCUUGUGGACAUCUAUUUUGCAACAGAUGCAUGCUUAAGAAAAUUGAAUCGAAAAAACGACCCAUUAAAUGUCCAAGAUGUCUAAAGGUUGUAGCUACCAGGUCACUGAGGACUGUUUACUUAUAAAAUCUGAACGUUUCCAUAAGGUUAUACUGUUAUUUUUGUCAUGUUAUGUGUAAUUUUAUUAAGCGGCAUUUUAUUAUACGUAUGUUUUUAUUAUACAUAAGACAUUUCAGACCCUGUGAAGACAUUUCAAAAUUAAAAUAGUAAUUUAUGUAUUACAAUCAAAUAAAACUUUAAUUAUUUAAAACUUUAGCUUCUACGCAAGAAAUUAGAGUUUUAUAUAUGUA